GUUUGGCGAUUGCGUGAGGGAUUGCAGCAAAAAUCCUUUUCCUUUUUCUUUAAAAAGGAAAAGAUUGUAGCGGAAAGCCCGACCCUUG
rnacentral:sRNA from 1 species